rnacentral:lncRNA from 1 species
GAUGAUUUUGUGUACUCAGGGCUUCUGGAGAUUUAUGGGAGUGGAGGGGGAGAGUUGGGGGGAUUUUGUAUGGCAUCUCCUCAACCUGCCCCUAUUUAACACCCUGAUUUCUGCUCGUGCUGCUCAGGACCUCAUUCAUUUUCUUGGGCUCCACCUAAUGAAUUCGGGGCCGUCCUACCUUAUCUGCAGUUUAUUUGUCUCUUUUCCACUCUGUUCCCUCUGCCCUCCAAUGAGGAUCAUGUCCUUUCCCAUCUUGAUGUGAGAGUUGGGGGUUGGAGGUGGGAGAAAUAACAGUACAAAACUGGUUCUCUAUCAUAGCGUAUCCUUGCAAAUCUUUCCUUAUAGAAAAGGGAUUUUUACCAGGGAUAAGCUCUUGGAAUGAAAAUCAAGACGAUGAUGGUUUUGUUCAAGGACCCCAAUAUCUAUGUUUCCCUGGCUCUGAGUGAAAUGAGAUGGGGGUGAGGUGAGACAGAGGGUAGGACUAGGCAGGAGACGUGUUGACAUCCUCCCACCACAGAUAUUUAAUCAAACUUCCUCAGUCUAAGUCACUGCCAUCGACAGUGUGGCUUUUGUCCAUUUUCUCCUGCUGUUUCCCUUUCCUUUUCAAGAUGAGUGUGAGGAGGGGAGCAGCUUGCAUUGCUGAAGAAGGAAUGGCUGUGAUUCUGCUCUUCUGUUCUGAUUGUUUCUUUUCAAGUUAUUUUUCAAAUAUUUAUUGAUGCGCCUAUGUAAUUCUUUGUGCCAUUCUUGUUCUAGACAUUGGAGAUAUAGCAAUGAACAAGCAGACACAAACUACUUUUUUGGUUUUUUUAGCCUCUCUCGGAAAAUUAACAUACUCAGUUAAAGAUGGUGUGUGCCUUAAANNNNNNNNNNNNNNNNNNNNNNUUGUUACAGCCAUAGUUUUGCAAAAUUUUCAUGUGUUACAAAAACAGAAGAACAGAGAAUCAUCUUAUGGUGCUGAGACCAAACUGAAGUUCAAUCAUCCUGUGACCCUUCCUCAUCACUCACAAUCCAACAGCUUGAGGACUUGUACCUCCACUAAGCCUUAUGCCACAUCUUUUUAACAAAGAAUGUGUGAAAAGCAGCCAGGAAGACUUUGGCUUCAUGGAUCUGCAUGAAAUGAAUGCCCCAUGAGAGCUUCUUCCUGCUCCUCCACUCCUCUUUCAGAAUCCCUGGCUGCUGGUAUUUGAACGAUGUAGCAAUAGGAGCUCAUGGGAUUUCCAUGCAGCAGUGAGAAGAAGCCCAGUUUCAGAUCAUAAUAGACCAGCUACUGGUGAGAAUGUUAUCAGUCAGCUUUUACAUUGGUGCCUUGGAAAGGGACUGAGGGUUGGGGGUAGGGAGCAAAGGAGAAACUGGGUAGGAGAAGAUACUGUACCUUGUCAGUUUCCUGAAUUACACGGGGAACCAUAGAGAUAUUUAUUCUGAACUAUGUGAAUAGGAGCCAUUGGUAAAAAGGAAUGUUCUUUCAAGAAGUGGCAGGUUGAGAAUAAGACAGUUACUGCUGAUGUGGUCCAAAGAGGUCAUUUGGCAUACUUACAUUUUAAAAUGUGCUUAGAGAUGUGUUCACAAAAUCCUUAAUUUCUGGGAGUAAAUUUUGUGGAAGCACGUUGUUUUCCCAGAACACACAUGUGAGAUUGCACAUGUGAGUAAAACACUGUCUUCUAGUUCUGAAACCAGUGAAUGCAUUCAUCUAUAUCAGGUUUUUCAUCUAGGUCAUGUAUUCAUCAUUUAACAGUUCAAAAUAAUAGUUAAAAUGGUCAAAAGGCAACAUUCCUUCCUUCCUCAGAUGGACAUUUAUCUGAAAUUAACUUGUUUUUCUUCCACCAAUAGAAUUAGACAAUUCACUUGACCAAACGACUUUACUCUUUAUGUUUACUUUACAUUUGUUACUGGAAAAUUGGUUUUCUUGCCCAACACACAUAUGUCUGCAUUGUGUAAUAUGCUGGGACCAAAAAAAAAAAAACCAGGAAAUGAUAGUCAAUAAUCUAGCCUAUAACUGUUGGUUAGGUUGUAGAUGUUCCUGUCUGGGACAGCCAGGAACAUUCUUAGGAAAGGUGGCACUUGCCUUUGGUCUUUAAAUGUUAUUAGGAAGUCACAAUUUGAAAUAGCCUAGUUUGUGAAAUAUGUGAAGGUCAAAAUGCAGAACAUAUUUAGAAAUCUGAAAUAUUUGGUGUGAAUUCAGUAUGUAGGGUUUGAGUAGGGUAGGGAGAAAAGACAGGGAUGAGGCUGGAAGGUGGAGGUCAGGGUUCAGAGAAGGCAUGGACCUGUGUUUUACUCCACAUAGCAUAAUACCAACAGUGCCUGUUUCUUAAUAGGAGUCCAGUAAGUAUUUCUUUCUUUCUUUUUUAACG